rnacentral:rRNA from 1 species
ACGCUGGCGGCACGCCUAACACAUGCAAGUCGAACGAAGUAGCAAUACUUAGUGGCAGACGGGUGAGUAACAUGUGGGUAUCUUCCCUAUGGCCUGGAAUAACACGAGGAAACUUGUGCUAAUACCGGAUAAGUCUUUACGGAGAAAGCUUUAUGCACCAUUGGAUGAGCCCGCACUUGAUUAGUUUGUUGGUAGGGUAAUGGCCUACCAAGACUUUGAUCAAUAGCUGAUUUGAGAGGAUGAUCAGCCACAUUGGGACUGAGACACGGCCCAAACUCCUACGGGAGGCAGCAGUGGGGAAUCUUGCACAAUGGAGGAAACUCUGAUGCAGCGAUGCCGCGUGAGUGAAGAAGGCCUUUGGGUUGUAAAGCUCUUUCGUCGGGGAAGAAAAUGACUGUACCCGAAUAAGAAGGUCCGGCUAACUUCGUGCCAGCAGCCGCGGUAAUACGAAGGGACCUAGCGUAGUUCGGAAUUACUGGGCUUAAAGAGUUCGUAGGUUGUUGAAAAAGUUGGUGGUGAAAUCCCAGAGCUUAACUCUGGAACUGCCAUCAAAACUUUUCAGCUAGAGUAUGAUAGAGGAAAGCAGAAUUUCUAGUGUAGAGGUGAAAUUCGUAGAUAUUAGAAAGAAUACCAAUUGCGAAGGCAGCUUUCUGGAUCAUUACUGACACUGAGGAACGAAAGCAUGGGUAGCGAAGAGGAUUAGAUACCCUCGUAGUCCAUGCCGUAAACGAUGUGUGUUAGACGUUGGAAAUUUAUUUUCAGUGUCGCAGCGAAAGCAAUAAACACACCGCCUGGGGAG